rnacentral:rRNA from 1 species
AUCGAACGCUGGCGGCAGGCUUAACACAUGCAAGUCGAGCGGAAGAAGGGAGCUUUUUUUUGGUUCCAGCGUCGGACGGGUGAGUAACGCCCAGGAAUCUGCCUGGCUGUGGGGGAUAACGACUGGAAACGGGCGCUAAUACCGCCUACGACCUGAGGGAGCAAGAGGGGGAUCUUUGGACCGCAUCCUCUCAGAUGAGCCUAGGCCGGAUUAGCUAGCUGGUGGGCUAAAGGCCUACCUAGCCGACGAUUCGUAACUAGUCUGAGAGGAUGGUCACUCACACUGGAACUGAGACACGGUCCAGACUCCUAAGAGAGGCAGCAGUAGGGAAUGUUAGACAAUGGGCGGAAGCCUUAUCCAGCCAGGGCGCGUCUGAGAAGAAGGUCUUCGGAUCGUAAAGCACUUUAAGUUGGGAGAAAGCGCAGUAAGUUGAUACGUUGCGGUUUUGACGGUACCGGCAAAAUAAGCACCGGCUAACUACGUG